GAUGAACGCUGGCGGCGUGCCUAAUACAUGCAAGUCGAGCGAACAGACGAGGAGCUUGCUCCUCUGACGUUAGCGGCGGACGGGUGAGUAACACGUGGAUAACAUACCUAUAAGACUGGGAUAACUUCGGGAAACCGGAGCUAAUACCGGAUAAUAUAUUGAACCGCAUGGUUCAAUAGUGAAAGACGGUUUUGCUGUCACUUAUAGAUGGAUCCGCGCCGCAUUAGCUAGUUGGUAAGGUAACGGCUUACCAAGGCAACGAUGCGUAGCCGACCUGAGAGGGUGAUCGGCCACACUGGAACUGAGACACGGUCCAGACUCCUACGGGAGGCAGCAGUAGGGAAUCUUCCGCAAUGGGCGAAAGCUUGACGGAGCAACGCCGCGUGAGUGAUGAGGGUCUUCGGAUCGUAAAACUCUGUUAUUAGGGAAGAACAAAUGUGUAAGUAACUAUGCACGUCUUGACGGUACCUAAUCAGAAAGCCACGGCUAACUACGUG
rnacentral:rRNA from 1 species